GCGGAGUGGAGCAGCCAGGUAGCUCGAAGGCCUCAUAAGCCUUAGGUCGUGGGUUCAAAUCCCACCUCUCGCA
rnacentral:tRNA from 1 species